AGUGAACGCUGGCGGUAGGCCUAACACAUGCAAGUCGAACGGCAGCACAGUAAGAGCUUGCUCUUACGGGUGGCGAAUGGCGGACGUGUGAGGAAUACAUCGGAAUCUACUUUUUCGUGGGGGAUCACGUAAGGAAACUUACGCUAAUACCGCAUACGCCCUACGGGUGAAGGCAGGGGAUCUUCGGACCUUGCGCGAUUGAAUGAGCCGAUGUCGGAUUGGCUAGUUGGCGGGGUAAAGGCCCACCAAGGCGACGAUCCGCGGCUGGUCUGAGAGGAUGAUCAGCCACACUGGAACUGAGAGACGGUCCAGACGCCUACGGGAGGCAGCAGUGGGGAAUAUUGGACAAUGGGCGCAAGCCUGAUCCAGCCAUACCGCGUGGGUGAAGAAGGCCUUCGGGUUGUAAAGCCCUUUUGUUGGGAAAGAAAAGCAGCAGGUUAAUACCCCGCUGUUCUGACGGUACCCAAAGAAUAAGCACCGGCUAACUUCGUG
rnacentral:rRNA from 1 species